rnacentral:rRNA from 1 species
UACGUAGGUGGCAAGCGUUGUCCGGAAUUAUUGGGCGUAAAGAGCUCGUAGGCGGCUCGUUGCGUCGGCUGUGAAAACCCGCAGCUCAACUGUGGGCUUGCAGCUGAUACGGGCGGGCUGGGAUUCGGUAGGGGAGACUGGAAUUCCUGGUGUAGCGGUGAAAUGCGCAGAUAUCAGGAGGAACACCGGUGGCGAAGGCGGGUCUCUGGGCCGAUAUCGACGCUGAGGAGCGAAAGCGUGGGGAGCGAACAGG